GCUGCAGCCCCCCCGGAGCCCCGCCGACGAUGGAGGCCAUCAAGAAGAAGAUGCAGAUGCUGAAGCUGGACAAGGAGAACGCCCUGGAUCGGGCGGAGCAGGCGGAGGCCGAGCAGAAGCAGGCGGAGGAGCGGAGCAAGCAGCUGGAGGAUGAGCUGGCCGCCAUGCAGAAGAAGCUGAAGGGGACGGAGGACGAGCUGGACAAGUACUCCGAGGCCCUGAAAGACGCCCAGGAGAAGCUGGAGCUGGCGGAGAAGAAGGCGGCGGACGCUGAGGCAGAAGUGGCAUCUCUGAAUCGCCGCAUCCAGCUGGUGGAGGAGGAGUUAGACCGGGCCCAGGAGCGCCUUGCCACGGCUCUGCAGAAGCUGGAGGAGGCGGAGAAGGCCGCAGAUGAAAGUGAAAGAGGCAUGAAAGUCAUCGAAAACAGAGCUCUGAAGGAUGAGGAGAAAAUGGAGCUGCAGGAGAUCCAGCUCAAGGAAGCCAAGCACAUUGCGGAGGAGGCGGACAGGAAGUACGAGGAGGUUGCCCGGAAAUUGGUGAUCAUAGAAGGAGAUCUGGAGCGCACCGAGGAGAGAGCUGAGCUUGCAGAGUCUCGUGUCCGGGAGCUGCAGGAGCAGAUCAGAGUGAUGGACCAGAACUUGAAGUGUCUGUCUGUUGCCGAAGAAAAGUACUCCCAAAAAGAGGAUAAAUACGAAGAAGAGAUCAAGAUCCUGACUGAUAAACUCAAAGAGGCGGAGACCCGCGCUGAAUUCGCCGAGCGGUCUGUGGCCAAGCUGGAGAAGACCAUCGAUGAUUUGGAAGAUGAGCUCUAUGCCCAGAAACUGAAGUACAAAGCAAUUAGUGAGGAACUGGACCACGCCCUGAAUGACAUGACUUCCAUUGCCCGAAGAGCCCUUCAGGAGUCGAGUUUUGGUGAAAUGGGACACCUCCCGUGGUUUCCUGAGCCUCAGCUUCAUCUGUGUAAUAGCCUAGACUUGAUCUUCAGAGGCACGUGCUAUGGAGACAGCCUGUCUGUCCGGUGUCCCGGCGUGUGGAUUUCUUCAGUGGCCAGGGUGGGCUCACCUAUGGAGUAAAGCCUACCUAGAGUGCUAGUUGCUGAUCUGAGCUCUCCUGGCUUAAGGAACAUAUAAACUGAAAUCCACCAAAGAGGAGCAUCUCUGCACGCAAAGAAUGCUGGACCAGACCCUGCUAGACCUGAAUGAAAUGUAAUGGAUCCCUGCCACUGCCUCCGCCACACGAUGCCAUGGGGGGCCAGCCCAGCCGCUGCUGACCUCUAACCCUUGGGGACCGGGGUUUACUUUCUGUUGCCAACUUGACCAAACACAAAUCUGCUAUUUCACCUCAGGGUUAAAGGUCAUCAGGUUGGGCAGAGCUUCAAACAGCAUUAUUAAGGGAAAUAAACAAUGCAAUAAUGUUUGGGGAGCAUGUUUGAGAUGUAUACAUUUUGUAACUACCUUUUUUUGUAGCAACCAUUGUAAACAUUCCAAAUAACUGAGGCUGGUGAGCAACACUUCAAAA